CUUUCAGAAAACGACGAUCAUGUAGGCUUAAUAUUUUACUCUUGACCUCGAAGAUGAGGGUGCCAUUAAUGUCAGACACCUUAAAAUCAUUCUCUCCAAGAGUCCAUAGCUUUGUAGAGACGGCGAGUUCAACAGGGUACUGUGCCAGGUACUGUGGCCCUACUACCACCACUGGAUGCUCCACCGGCGGGUAUGUUCUCACAGCUGGAACGGGGUUGCCUGGUGCGUGCCCAGUAGCCAUAAUCACA